rnacentral:SRP_RNA from 1 species
UGCGGCGUGCCGGGCGACCAGCUCCUGCAAAACCUCCCCAGGGCAGAAAUGCAGCAAGGAUAUGUGGUCGUAGCGGUGUGUUCGGCACACUUUUUAAAA